rnacentral:rRNA from 1 species
CCCUUAGAUGUUCUGGGCCGCACGCGUGCUACACUGAGUGGAUCAGCGGGUCAGGUUGCGCGAAAGCGUUUCCUAAUCUUUAAAUCCGCUCGUGAUGGGGAUUGACGGUUGCAAUUUUCUGUCAUGAACGAGGAAUACCUUGUAAGCGCGGGUCAUCAUCCCGCGCUGAAUACGUCCCUGCCCUUUGUACACACCGCCCGUCGCUACUACCGAUUGGGAAAAUUUUAGAGAGUCCUGGACUGAUGAUUGUUCGGCUUCACGGCCUUACUUUCGUCGGGAAAGAAUUCGAUAAUAUUUUUCUAGAGGAAGUAAAAGUCGUAACA